rnacentral:rRNA from 1 species
UACGAAGGGGGCUAGCGUUGUUCGGAAUUACUGGGCGUAAAGCGCGCGCAGGCGGUCUUCCAAGUCAGUGGUGAAAGCCUGGAGCUCAACUCCAGAACUGCCAUUGAAACUGUUAGACUUGAGUACGAGAGAGGUGAGUGGAAUUCCCAGUGUAGAGGUGAAAUUCGUAGAUAUUGGGAAGAACACCGGUGGCGAAGGCGGCUCUCUGGACCGAUACUGACGCUGAGGCGACGAAAGCGGUGGGGAGCGAACAGG